UGUAGCUCAGUGGUAGAGCGCUUGGCUAGCAUGCAUGAGGUUCUGGGUUCAAUUUCCAGUA
rnacentral:tRNA from 1 species